rnacentral:ribozyme from 1 species
UUUUUUCUCUUUUUUUUUUUUCUUCUUCUUCUUCUUCUUCUUCUAUUUCCCGGAUAGAUACAACA